UCUCUCUUCCCAGCCCCCUUGGGUUCCCGAGACCCCUGAGUUUUUUUUGCAGAACCUUUGUGGGUGCCACCUGGGAAUCUGCCCUUCCAACAAGCCCCAGGAUUCGGAUGCUGCAGUCUCUACUAAGCUUCACCUGUUUGUCUCAGGUGUUACGACCUGGCCAUUAGCAGAGUCAGGAGUGAGUGGAGUGAAUGCACUACCAAUCCCGCCUGAGCUCUCCUCUCCCGAACCUAAGUCGGAGGCAGGUUCUGAGCGGGAUAGGUGCCUGGUACUAGGGCCACUGUUUCUGCCUCUUCCUCCUCCUCACAGACCAGACCUGUGGCAUAUCUCCCGCUGUCUUAAUAUUUCCUUCUCAAGGUAGUUAACAGAUGCACCUGGCUCCAGGUCGGUUGGAAAGAACACAAAGAAAACGCCACCUUGAAAAAAAGUAUCUGACUUUUUUAAAUUAAAAAUUAUUAUUUAUUUAUU
ensembl:lncRNA LOC120094297 uncharacterized LOC120094297